CGGAAAUAUGCGAACACGCGCACGGGUCGUGUCGCUAACUUCCGGUGUGGUGUGAACAAGCCGUACACCUGACGAACGGAUAAGAGACGAGCACAGAUAUCUUCAGGAAGGCCAAGGGCAUCAUGGGAAGAUUAAGGAGCCACAAUGCAGGAUCAUGGCAGAGGCUUUGGCACCGCUCGCCCACCCCGAUGACAAAAGUCCAGCAAACUCACAGAAGAACACAGAAGUGAAUCAACUACGUUCAGCAUCUUCUGAAGGUUCAAACGGUGUGGCACUUGAUGGAGAGAAGGCGACGCCGGCCGGUUUGUUUAUAGUCGAACUGUCACCCAUCUGGCAAUUCAUUCUGAAAUGACCCUGGGCACAGCGACACGGGCGAGUUCUGAAGCUCCGAUUUGACACGUCAAGAUGUUGCGCUAAAGGUGGAAUGAGAGAUAAUUUUGUUUUUUUUCCACCUUCCUCGGAGCCAACUGAGGUUAGGAAAUGUGGCAGAGUCCUUCCGCAGAGAUUACAGUGUCAACUCGCUCUAUUCAACGUGGGCUACUUGAAGGACCGAGAGGGACAAAGCGUGUACACAUUGCAGCGCUAUUCACCCGGGCCAGCUGGAUUGCCUGAAAAAAAGGGGUCCAGCGGGAUACGGAGGCAGAUGAGGUGAUGCUGAGGUGAUGAGAGUCAGGGCCACAUGAUUGACAGCUGUCCAGUGUCUCACCCUGCGCUCUUCCUCUGGAUGGGGUAUGUCAGGAAUAUAACCUGAAAACGGUGCGGUCUCUAUACAUGUGAAUGUGUUUGAAGCCUUCAAAUUGUCACAGACAAUGAGAAACUAACAUCAGACUAAACAACCAACAAGCAUCUGAACAGACACACGCACACUGAUAAAUGUGCAUCCUUAAAGAGCAAAUAAGAGAGAUGAAGUGUCUGGAGGUGUAACAGCAUCCACCUGACGGUAUCUGUGGUCCUCCAGGCAUUCAGAAAUGAUGAUAUUUGCAAUUACAAUUUGACUCCUUCACCACGUGACCUUCUGAGCCAUUUAUACGAAAUCAAAUUUGUCUUUCAGCACUCAUCUGCAUCUCCCGAGAGCUACGCAUUUAACCAUUGAAAAACUAAAGGCAGUAUUAAUGUUUUCACUUGUGGUUCAGAAAUCGGAGUCUUUUCCCCCUGCAGGUAUUGUGAUGAGACGGUAGUUUGAAGCAUUUAGCCGCUGCAUUAUCGCCGUGUUCCUUUUUCUUCAUUUUCGCAUCUUAUCACUGCUGCAUCUCAGCCGGUCCAAACUGAGAGUUGUAAUUACCCAGACUGCCACCUGAUAGCCGCCGCCCGUAUCAGCUUCAUCACCGUGUGCCUCUCCGUUUCAAACACAGAGAGAGAGAGAGAGGAGAGAGGGAGAGAGGGAGAGAGGGAGAGAGGGAUGUAAUGAUAGCAUUUCCAGCUGGAAUCGGCUCAAACACCACAAUGUUUCUGGCGUUCAUUCUUUUCUGCUAUUAUCACAUCACCAUGCGUUCCGUUCCUCACAUAUUCUCUCUGGUAGAUGUGACACGUAACAGACAGACAUGCUGUGUCCUUCAGCCAGCACAGAUCCAGUCUGAUUUUUGUGAUGGUGUUACAGUAAUAGAAAUAGAUCUUUCAUCACGCGUGUCCAUACUGACGGGUGUCUGAAUUCACCGGCAUCUGUCAAACUACAGGUGGA